CAGGAUGAACGCUAGCGACAGGCUAACACAUGCAAGUCGAGGGGCAUCACGGGAGUAGCAAUACGAACUGGUGGCGACCGGCGCACGGGUGAGUAACGCGUAUGCAACCUACCUAUCAGAGGGGAAUAACCCGGCGAAAGUCGGACUAAUACCGCAUAAAACAGGGGCACCGCAUGGUGAUAUUUGUUAAAGAAAUUCGCUGAUAGAUGGGCAUGCGUUCCAUUAGGUAGUUGGUGAGGUAACGGCUCACCAAGCCGACGAUGGAUAGGGGAACUGAGAGGUUGGUCCCCCACACUGGUACUGAGACACGGACCAGACUCCUACGGGAGGCAGCAGUGAGGAAUAUUGGUCAAUGGGCGGGAGCCUGAACCAGCCAAGUCGCGUGAAGGGAAAAGAAGGAUCUAUGGUUCGUAAACUUCUUUUGCAGGGGAAUAAAGUGCAGGACGUGUCCUGUUUUGUAUGUACCCUGAGAAUAAGGAUCGGCUAACUCCGUGCCAGCAGCUGC
rnacentral:rRNA from 1 species